CUGGUUCGUGUUCGUCGCCUCUUCUCCUCCGCCCCCAAUUCCUCCUCCGCGUGCGCCGCCGUUCUGCCUCCGCAUGCGACGCAGACUACCACAGCAGGAUGGACAACGAAGGUAACGACUACAUCUGGUGGUGUCCGGGUGAGACGCAGAUGGCUGAUGAAGCUAGAUCCGUAUUAGUGGUGUCGGAUGGAAAAUUCGUGCCCAGCGGCAUAUCACAUAUGCUCAAAGUUCGUGGUAGAGGACACCGAUGUGCGGCCCUACAGGGAUGGCAACCAGAGCCCUCGCGCCUAGCGACCAAUCAACGGGGCUGGAGGGUCAAAGCCUUGCGUGCAGUGCAGGCCACCAUCUCCAUUAAGAUGCCGGGCGACGAAGCUGACAGGAACAAGUCUACACACGGGCAAAGCGUCCCAAAGCCUUGGUGAGAUCCUCCUUUUGCCGAUGUUAUUUCCUCUAGUUCCUCCGUGUGUCUUGAGCUUCACUUUCUUCUCCCCAUCUCCGUGCAGGUUUUCUACAUUCCUUAUGGAGUACAUUCUGUGUCAAAUGAGAAAAUUAUUGUAUCACUGCGGUUCAUAUGCAGCGGAAAGAACUGAAAUCUGAGCCUCCGCAUGUCAACUACAAAAGUUCAAGUAAUUAGCAUACAAGAGCAUCCUAAAAACCUACAUGUGGUGACACUUGCUGCAAAGGUAUGGACCGUAGUUUUUUCAGUUUACUAUUUUCACACCAUUUUAUAUCUUCUUUAUUGAACACUACUUUGAAAAAGAUUUACUUCAGUUAAUUUACACUCAGUUCCUUCUGCUGAUGUUGAUACCAAAGGAUGAGAAGUACAAAAUUGCACGUUCUGUGACAAUGGUGUGAUGUUUAACCGGGACAACGUGUGCUGCCCUUGGUAACAGGCACACUCUUUGUUUAUUUCCUACAACUUCGUGUUUGUCAUUUAUUUUACAUUCCCAUUUAUGUUAUGGUGUUCCUGACAUUGGCUUUAUUUGAGCUGUUAUUUUCAAAACUUGCAAAUGGUUUUGUGGAGUUGUAUAAUGGCAGCCUUAGUUAGAGGUACUAAAUGGUCUUAAAUUUUGGCUCCUUUUUCUUUUUACUUGGCUGUCCAUUAUCUUCUCAUUUUUUCUUCUAUAGUCAGAUAUUAUUGAUAAUCACUUUUCAGGGGAAGAGACCCAUGGGCUAACGAAAAAAUUUCACUCCAGUUUUCUGGUCCUCCGGCAGAGCAUCGCCUUAUCGUUUUUACCAUGGCUGAAUGCUCGUGACGAUUUGCCCACGGUAUAAGGGUUGUUGCUCUGCACGGACCUAGGCAGCCUGCCGUUAACCGGGCUGAUGCCAACUGCGGUCCUUUGACAUGGUCUGUUCAGGGUUAGGUACGUUCGGAGAGUUGGAGUGGCAGCCAGGCGUACCGGCGGCAAAGGAAAGCCAGAGCGGUGGCGCCGCUGAUUGUACUGGCGUAGCAGGUGCGCCGUGUUCCAUCUUCCCAUCCCCUAUCUGGGACAUCGCUGCCUCCAGCGCCUCCUCCACGGCACAUGGUAGAGGCCUAGAGGGAUGCGGCUAUAGGGCAAACCGCAGCCUCCGACGCGAAUCAGUGUUUCAUGCAUCCACUAAUUCCAUCUCGUUGUUGUGAUCUUCUCCAGGUUAGGUCAAUCCUAAUUCUUUUUUCUUAUUUAUCACCUUGUCACUAUUAUCAAGGUCCUGCUAAACUAGUGAUUUAUGCUUUGCUUUUAGUACUUUUUUCGUUGCAAAUUGUAGGUUGAGUUAGAUUGCUAUCUAGAUUUCAUUCACAUUUUUUUCUAUGUAGAUUCAAGUGAAGUAUCUAAUUCAUUUGUAGCAUUGCGAAUUGAAAUCGAUAACACUAUUGCUCGUAAUCACUUGCUUAGUACAUUUAUGUACUUUCAUCUCAAUUACUUAUUCCUGGCUCUAACAGAAUUUUUAUAGGCCUCGGUCCGAAUAAGCGAAACAAGAAACCUAAAUUUCUUUGUGUUCGUGAGGUCUUCAUAGGAAGACAACUAGAAAGAUGUAAAGAACAUCAAAAGUUUUUUGUACUAUUCUGCAACAUGCAUUGCCCACCUAAUCGUUCAUAAACAUUUCUGUUUAAUUUACCAUUCCCUUGAUAACACACUUGGGAUUUAUCGAAACCUGCAUUGGGAGUUACUCGAAAUGUCGCAUCAUUGAUACUGAAGUUAUUAAGGUGGGACCGUUAAACUUGAUAAAAUCCCCAUUAGAAACAUCUUCACUUUAUAAUUUAAACCCUUAUUGUGCAAGCCAUGGUGGAAGAGGAAACCAGUGACUGUUUCUACUUCAUCCUUCCUUUUUUACGGUUAGUACAUAAAUAUCAUGCUUAUCACUCUUCAUAGUUCUUGGAUUACAUUUAUAUUCUUCAUUAUCGGAACUACAUCACGGUUACCUUCUUUGGAUUCUUGGAAUCUGAAUCAUGAGCUACGUUGUUUGAUUUUAACUCUUCUGCUAACAUUUUCAACUGCCCUUCUUUUACAAGCAAUGAUAUUUUUGUGAUUUAUAUUUUCCUUUCACUUUGUUGCCUUAUUGUCUUCCUGAAUAAAAGCAUUGCCUGAAUUUGGCUCUAAAAAAUCCACAUACAUGGCUUGCGCUCUCACUGUGAAUCAUUUUUGUUUCCCUAUAGGUUAUAGAGUGCAGCACUUAUAAUCCACACUUCAAUGGUCAAGGAAAUAGAAAAAACAUUCCAUUUGUCACCCUGCUGGGGCUCAUGGUGAAAAAACUAUAUUGGUUUUCAUUUUUGUAGUGAUUCUUAUGUUUGCUGGUGGAUCCACGGUGCAUCUGCUGGUGCUGGUUGGUCUGGAUGUCUGUCUCAUGGCGGUCCUUCCAAUAGGCCUACAAAGGUUUUUGCCUCUAAAGGUUUUUAGGGGCAGUUUGAAUUUUGGCAUGGUACAUAAAGGUUCCAUAGAUGAGUUGGUCUGUUGGAAAGUGCCAUAUUACGUCCCGGGACUAAAGAUCCACGCCCUAAACCUCCAAGUUGAGGACAGCAAGCCCACCAAGCUUGGUGGGGCGGAAAACAGCAAUCCAAUUAACUUUGCAUUUGCCGCCGGACACCGUGUCGGUACCCGCCCAAAGCCAAGCCCGGAUAAUCCUUCGGAGAGCUUGAAGAAACUCCGCCGGGACGUCGAGAGCUGGGAGGAGGUAGAUGGUUUGGGAAGUGAGCACCGAUUUGGCCAACACGGUCUGGCCUGCAAUGUUGAAAGAUUUUCCUUGCUAAGGGGCGAGACGGCCGGUGGCCUUGUCUUCAAUAUAUUGUAGGUGAAUGCGUUUGAUUCUCUUUAUGGCAAUGGGAGGCCAAGAUACUUCAGCGGAAAAUAGGCGAUGGUGGCCCGAAGGUCGGAAGUAAUAUCGUUGAGGUCUAUGCCUAUUUUGCUUUCCCCCUCGUUUCCGCAUGUGCUACUUCUAGCUGCUCAAUCAGUCCUUCGAACGUGAACCGGUCGACAUGUUGCUACACUGUAAUAAAGCAUACAAUCGUGAUAUCUUUCUACUAGUAUUUUUGUCGAACUAGUUGAAUGCCCGUGCGUUGCUACGGGUUAACUUUUUCAAACCAAACAAAAUGUAGGUAAAAGAAGACAAACCACAAAAGUUAAUGUUAGUUCAAAAACCAUAGGCUCAUGACUUCGGUUGAAAUUUGAUGAUAACCUUACUCUUAAAUUAAGAAAAUAAGUUAAAAGAAGAAGGGAAGAAGAAAAAAAUGGGUCUAUCAAUAUUAUAUGAUAUACAUGUUAGUCAUAUUCCUAAACAUGAAUUAGUCACCAAACAUUGCGACGUGUCACCAAACAUUGCGACGUGUUUUGCAUCAACCAAAUAUAUCUCAUAGCCAUGUGACAACAACAUCCAGGUGCUAUGCACAUCACUGUUCCCUAACAACCCAUGAUAAUAUAAACCGAGAGUUGUCGUAUGAGCUUCGCUGGCACUCUGCAUUCCGGUGUUUCAGGUGACUUCUUGCUUGGAAACUCAACGGUAAGGAUAAUUUGUUUUAGUUGGAUUCUUCCAUGCUGCCACACAAAUUGGGUCACAAGGAUUUAGAAGAUAGGCUAUCCUGUUGGAUUCUGGUUGCGGCUAAGUUCCGGCCAACUGAGCAAACAACUAUGUUUUGCUCACUGUCACUGGUAGCUGUAGGGUCUGACACAACAACGAUGAGCUUCGUUGCAGAUUAGCCUCCGCUAACAGCCUCCCCUGCUUCAAAGAUAAUAAGCAUAGGUCUAAAGAUAACUAAAAAGUAUGAGUUGACGUAUACAUUUGCAAAAAGUCACUGCUCAAGCGGUGAAAAUGCACAGAAUCUGAUGGCCGUAAACCGAGGAACUCCAAGUCCAUGUUUGGCAGGAGCAACACUCCUGGAUGUAUGAUGUUAUUUUGGUUCUCUGCCUAAAAGUUUUUUCUAGUAACAUACCAAUUGAUUAUGCUAACCUAGCCGUAUGUCACAUAACUUUGUCGUACCUUUUAUUUUGUGAAAAUUAUUUGUGGUACUUUAGACUAAAGUACAUAAUCAUCUUCAAAAAAUCUGAAUAAUAUAAGCUUAUAUGCUGAGGGCCUUGGAAAUUAAGAAUUAUCACGAGUCGUCUAUUUUUCUUGUUUCUGCAGAGAAGCAUCCAUACGAACAACGAGCAUGAUGAUCUACUUUGAUUAAUACAUCAACCUACUAUCUUUACACAAUAAUUAUUUUAUAUCUGAUGAAACAUUGUUGAUUCUUAUUUACACAAUGGUUACAAUGAGCAUGACAAACAACAAGAGUAAGGGUUGGAAGGCCAACAUCCAAGGCAAUAGUAACUAUUGGAAGAAUUAAAUAUGCACUUCCCGGUGACAGUCAACAUGGGCUUAUUGUAACCACUCUGAAGCUUUCUCUACCAAAUAAUUUAAGUAUGGGCAUUGCAAGCAUGCACUUUGGUUCUGGAAAGAAGUUGCAAGGUUACAUACUUACUGAACUAUGAAACACCUUCAGCACAUCCCAGAGCGCCUCCUUUGAUCAUUAACCAACCAUCUAUGAAAUAAUAAAAGAUCUAGUUAGGCUUAAAUAUGAACACAAAAUGGUUGGAGAGCUAGGAAUUGAAGAAAAAUUACAGUGCACAUAUGAACAUGUACUAACUUAGAGGCUUACAGUUCGCGUAGAUACUUAGCAAGGAACCAGUGUAUUCCGAACCAGUCGUCACAUAGUGUGCAAGCCACAUUUCGAUCUCGGGGAUUACCUAGUGGACUUGAGGGAAAAAAAUACAAACAUAGACCGGCAUAAAUUUCAUCCAACCAAGCAUAUGUAACAAACACAAAGGAAGCUAAAGUACAUAUUUUUAAUAGGAAGGGAGUUGCAGCCUGCAGGACAAAAAAUGGUUUUAAUGGCAUUCAAUUUAUUGUAGGAAAUGACAUGACAUCGCUGUCAAGAAACAGAGAGGAAAUGACAAAAUAUUUCAUAGCACGAAUAAAUAUAAUACUUUGAUAGGCUUUGUAUCACUGUAAAACUUAUCAUGGCAUGAAUUCUCUUGCAAUUAAGUUUGCUGCUCUCUUCUCUUGUGAUUGUAAAGCCAACCGCUACAAUCUCUAUGGUCGCAACAGUGUUGAACAUACUGUUGAACUAGCUCUUCUAGUAGUCAUUGAUCUUGCUGACCUGCUUCCAGUAGUUGGCGACCAACUACUUCUUCUGAACAAGAGUGUUCUUCAUGUCAAAGCAUGCAUCAACCUCCUUCUUACCCUGGGCGGUUAUUGAAGCGACAUAAGCCACUUUAUAUGCUAUCCCUGUAAUCUGAAAAAUUGUGAUCGAUAUACUGCAUCAGUCAGUAUUAGCAAAACAGAAAAACAUCAAUAGCACCUCUCCAGAGAAACAAACACAAAUUUCAGAUUAGGAGCACACCUCUUGCAUGGUCUUUGUGACAUCUGUGGUAUCUGAAGUAGUUAUUGUCUAAAUCCUUAUGUGAUGAUCAGUGUCAGUGCCCCACACAACACAUAUUUUGUCCUAUAUAUAGAUCUAUACUCAAACAUACAUGAACAUAACUUUUUAAAGAUAUGUACAUGUAUGACAAUCAAUACGGUGAAGCAAAAAACAAUGCAAUAUGCACGUACUGAUGUACAAUUACUAUUUGCAGAUAGUACCUACUUGAUGCAUGUAGUGUGAUGACGUACAAAAUACUUAAGCAACUCAGUGUAUAAAAUUCACCUACACUGGCACAUCAACAAAAUUAUCCAUAAGCACAGAUAUUGCACAAUACCAAUUUGACUAUGGUAUUUUUAGAAAUUGGUGUAGGACAUAAAUAACUUUUUUUAAUGUUGGACAAUGUUUAACUAACCAGGAGGAGCUCCUAGAGCUGGAUGUCAGACGAGUUGAUCCCAACAGCAAGAUGACGGCCAUCAGGAGCCUAGCUGACGCUUGUAAUGCAACCAUUGUUCCCCUCGACUAUGAGGAGCUCAGACGUGGAUCCACUUGAGUCAUCCAACAAAUAUAUCAUGUCUCACAACACAAUGGACAGUAGGUUGCUGCUCCCACAGUCCAUCAGGUUGAGGUAUGAGGUCUAGUGCAUCCAGAGUCCUCUCCGCAGACUACAACAGUAAUCAGUAACCAUCACCAAUUUCUACCACGUACAUAAAGUCAAUGCAUUAUUAGAAUCACAAGUAUGUCCAUACCUGAGGAGUGUAGCGCAUCUGCUUCGCCGGCUUGGCCUAUUGAGAAGAAACUGUGUUGGCAGCGGCGCAGCCGAGAAGUUCUCACGCUUCGACGGCUUGUUCCUGAAGGCGAGGAUCUGCGCGCGGUCAUUGACUCCAGUAGGCCUCUUUGGAUGGGUAAGCCUCCAGGGCCGCUGCAUACUCCUUGUCCUUCUUGGUCUCCAUGAUCAGGUAGUGCGCAAGGGCCAUGUUCACUGAUGAUCUGUCUACAGGAUUUGGGAUCUAACAAAUUACUUAGCACUCCUACGGAUUGCGCGGGAUCCGACCUCCUGAAGCGGCAGCCGGUGCACGGUGGUGUUGUUCUUCUCGGAAGAGAUCGAGUGGGAGCCUGCGCUGCGACGAGCUCCUCCCGGCCUCGCCCAUCCCGCCGGACGCGGUUCAUUCCUACCGUCGGCUGCUCGCCCUGGGUGGUAGGACGGCGCAGGGAGCGGAGGCGGCGUGAUGGUUUGUCUGCCGGGGCGGUGCUCUAUCUAGGAAGAUUAAUUGAUUCCAUACCAGGGCAAGUACAGAUACAUCUGCGGGAAUUAAACAUCCUAUACUUAAUUUGUAUUGAUUAAGAAUCAUUUUGAUUGAUUGAUUCCAUAAAUCACACGCGGGGAGUGGAAAAGUGUGGGGCGAUGUAGAGACCGUGAGAUUAGAUUGGAUGGUCCGGAUUCUUUCAAUGACGACCAUCAAACGCGUUGAGUGUCAAACGACCAACUCCAAUUUCUAUCUAUCUACACUACUUAAAAAGGAGGAACUUCCUCCGUUUUCUGCCAAUACGUCAAAUCCUUCGUCGUCCUGCUCGUCGACCUUCCGCUCGCCCGCAUGCGCGUACAUGGGCCAGGCCCACCUAUCGCGUAGGUCGCGCCCCCUCGCUCUUCUCUACCUUCACGGACCCCAUCCCGUCCAACCCUAGCCGUCUCUGCCUCCCCCCACACGAUCUGAUUCCUCCUUCUCCACGCGACCCCAAUCCCGUGCGAUGGUGGCGGCGCUGCUGGUGAACUUGACGGCCGAUCGGAGCCUUGGCCGGUGCACGUCGUGCUGGGCGCCGAUGCCACCAUGGCCAACAUCGCGCGCGCCGCCGUCGCCGCCUCCAUCGCCCAGGGACGCAGGCCGCCGCUCCCCGCCUCCAUCGCCCAGGGACGCAGGCCGCCGCUCCCCGCCUCCAUCGCCAAGGGACGCAGGCCGCCGCUCCCCGCCGACGCGAACAACGUCGACGCGGCCGCAUGGUUCGAGCUGCAUCUCUCCAAGUAUUCCACGAUGCGCUGAACCCUGACGAGAAGGUGCUGGAUCUGGGGUCGCGCAACUUCUUCCUCUGCGCCAUAAGAUUCUGAAUGGAUUAUCUGUAUCUCGCACCGCCGCCUCCACAGUGCUCCCUCUCGUUGAACCUCAAGAGUUAAGAGUGAUCAUACAUGCUUAGCACUUUUUUUUGAUACAUAUAUUGUCCGGUUCAACUGAAGAGAAUGAUCAAAUUAAUGAUCCUUCCGCUUAUUCAGAUUUCAAAUACUUAGUGAUGGUUUUCUAUAAGCCUUUUCUUGUCAUCUUGUGCUAGCUAGGUUUCAUUUUGUUUCAAGUACAAAAUGCUCAUAUUAGUUAUAAAGCUUUUCUGGUCUUAUUUUGUAGGGUGAAUAUCACGAGAGGAUCAGAGUGUACAAUUUGUAAACAAAAAAAACUCAAGUUCGACCUGCUCUUAUAUAAUCCUUCGCAAUUGCGUUGAAUUUGUGGUGCCUUAGUUUGACCCAUUUUUAUUGCUAAUGAAUUGUGAUUCUGGUUGACACCAGGUGGUGUGGAGGUACCUCGCAGCCUUGUCGACAGGGAGAGUAUGCCAGAAGAGUUUCAGCCAGCCACCCCUAAGGGGCUUCACCCUAAAUGGUGUUACAUAUGGAGUGUUGGCCCUCUCCCGUCAAACAUCCACUUCAAGGUUGUCAUUUCACAUGAUCCCUUUAGUGGAAUGUGAAGUCUGAAUGGAUUGCAUGGAUAAGACCUCACCAUUUAUCAGUGUCACAUACUGAACUCAGAGCCUAUUAUCUUACCGAAAUGGAAACAGACAAUUCCUGGGGUGCAAAAAUGAUUUAUGCAAUUGAGGUUGUUGCUGAAGAUGGCUGCGAUUUAAGCUUCUUGUGGUUUAAGCUUCUCUCCAAGUAUUCCCUCGACGGUAGGAGAGCCUCGUUCGAUUUCUGUAAUGGCUGCGAUUUGAUUUGGCUUUGUCAAAGGAUGUGUUUACCUCUUUGAUGAAGGAGUUAGUGUUUUAGUUCUCUACAGUUGUUGUAAAAUUUUCUGAUAUACAUGUUCUUAAAGUAAUGCAAAGUCUCAGUAUUUUCAGUACUACAAGUAAUACAGGUUAGCCUUGCCAUUUUUUCUGGAUACUGAAUUGAUCUACACUCGGGCUGAUGGAAGGAUAUGCUUGUUCAUAUUAGUUGUAAAGCUGGAGUGACUUACCGGUGGCGAGUAGCUGGAAUGCAGUGACCAAGUAGCUAAAGAGAAUCAAAGCCCUGUGGAGGGUCUCGUCAAUAGUAUGUACUCUCAAUUCUCAUAAUAUGUUUGAUAACCUCAUGAUAAUUGUCAGAAUCAUGUUUGAUCUAACGAAUUAUUUACUUACCAACUCUAUAUAUUUCUAAAAAGCUAUUCUCACACAUUGCGACUGAUGCGACGCUUAAACAAUUGGGCCACUUUGCUGAAGCAACCAAUGUUCCUAAUUAUACCAAUAUAUCUAGGGGAGUAUGUUGAGCAAGAUCUCUCGGUUAUUAAUCUGAAAGGGAAUGUUGCUUUUUAGGUGUGUUGGCUGCCGAUUAAUCCAAUAACUCAUACAGGGUUAGAAUUUUAAAUACGACAUUGUUAGCUAAUACUUGUAUCUUCAUUAUUCCCAAUUUCUUACACAAAGGUUGCCUUGGAUGAUUCCCCAGGCAACCUACCAUAUCCAUGCUAAGUAAGUAAGUAUGUCCAUUUUGUCCUCUUCUUAAGUUAUAGUUGAUGUUCUGUUGUAGUAAACUGAUGUUACUUGUGAAAACUGAAUAAAUGUUAACGUAGAAACGAAGUGUUUUGAGAGUGACAUUGGCCUUGCUAUCUUAGGAGUAUCAAACAUAUAGAUAUUUUACAGGUUAAAACUAACUCAUCACAAACUGAGUAAUCACUAGUGUCUAAAAAAGAAUCUCACAGUAGUGCCUCUCGUACCUCCCUCAGUUAACGAUCUUAAUCACCAUUAAUCACCGUUUCCCCUCCUUCCAACAUCAAUUAGCCACUACCGGUACUCUUAGUUAUCACCAUCAUCAACCACCAUAAUCACAACAUUUGACUCCAUCGAAACUUAUGUAUUUCCUCCAGCCCCUAUUACUUAUUGUUAAUAUGGAAAGAGCUCCUGGUUUGUAUAUGAUAGGGUCAUGGCAUAUAGAAAAAAUGAGUGGCAACAACAUGUUAAUAGUUUUGUUACGCGAUAGUACGAAAAACAAUACUUCCAUGUUAUCUUUGUUUGAUCGAGUUAACUGAACAAUGUAUAAAACAUUGAGAUAAAUCAAAUUAGUUGUGUUCAUAUUAGGUUCUGUAGUGCUAGAAAUGGCCUGACCAGAUGAAACUAAUUACAAUCUAGCCACAGAUCCAUAUGCCUCCCAGCAAGUUGUGGCGCUUUUUUUCCCCUGUUGUGGAACUUAAAGCAUAUGCGGACCAGUGACAACCUUGAUGAUAAAAAAGUAUGUACCACUUGAAGCAUAUGUUCCUCCCAGCAAAAGAAUUUGCAAAGUGUCACCACAGAAGCAAGUCUGCCAAAAAAAAAGGUGAUUUCGUUGAGAAAUGCGGGCCUAGAUAUUGGAGCAGUACAUCCUGUUGAGAUGAUCUUGCAAUAUCAUUUUCUCACAACUGAAGAAGUUGAGUGCAUCAAAGUCUUCAAUUUAUUGACCAAAGUGGUGAUUAAGAAUUGAUGGCCGUUCUUCUGUAUAGUAAUGAGACGCAUUGUUGACCUCCUGUUAUUUUUUUUGUCAUUGUAACGGAAGCUCAGGCUGUUCUUUAUAGUAAUAUAUAUCAUUCGUGCUCAAUCCAGUUUCUUAUUUCAGACA